rnacentral:rRNA from 1 species
CGGGCGUUAAGUUGCAGGGUAUAGACCCGAAACCCGGUGAUCUAGCCAUGGGCAGGUUGAAGGUUGGGUAACACUAACUGGAGGACCGAACCGACUAAUGUUGAAAAAUUAGCGGAUGACCUGUGGCUGGGGGUGAAAGGCCAAUCAAACCGGGAGAUAGCUGGUUCUCCCCGAAAGCUAUUUAGGUAGCGCCUCGUGAAUUCAUCUCCGGGGGUAGAGCACUGUUUCGGCUAGGGGGCCAUCCCGGCUUACCAACCCGAUGCAAACUGCGAAUACCGGAGAAUGUUAUCACGGGAGACACACGGCGGGUGCUAACGUCCGUCGUGAAGAGGGAAACAACCCAGACCGCCAGCUAAGGUCCCAAAGUCAUGGUUAAGUGGGAAACGAUGUGGGAAGGCCCAGACAGCCAGGAUGUUGGCUUAGAAGCAGCCAUCAUUUAAAGAAAGCGUAAUAGCUCACUGGUCGAGUCGGCCUGCGCGGAAGAUGUAACGGGGCUAAACCAUGCACCGAAGCUGCGGCAGCGAA